UUGUCCUAAUUUAGACAUAGAAUUUUCUCUCCUUUUUAUCCAAGAGUUGGAUAUAUAUUCUUACAUCUCUGGCAUAGAGAUUUGAUGCAUGGAUUUUAGGAAGAAAGAGAAGAAAGUAUUCUUCUAAUGAUCUCUAGUAUAGAGAUCAUCAUCCUCCUAUUCUCUUCAUCUUCUCUAAGAUAGUCUUGAGAGAAAUGAAGAGUUUUUAACUGUCAAGAUGCGAUCUCUGUAAGAA
rnacentral:lncRNA from 1 species